GAUGAGAACGUAGCGAAAUGCGAUAAGUAGUGUGAAUUGCAGAAUUCAGUGAAUCAUCGAAUCUUUGAACGCACAUGGCGCCCUUUGGUAUUCCAAAGGGCAUGCCUGUUCGAGCGUCAUUUGUACCCUCAAGCUUUGCUUGGUGUUGGGCGUCUUGUCUCUAGCUUUGCUGGAGACUCGCCUUAAAGUAAUUGGCAGCCGGCCUACUGGUUUCGGAGCGCAGCACAAGUCGCACUCUCUAUCAGCAAAGGUCUAGCAUCCAUUAAGCCUUUUUUUCAACUUUUGACCUCGGAUCAGGUAGGGAUACCCGCUGAACUUAAGCAUAUCAAUAAGCGGAGGA
rnacentral:misc_RNA from 1 species